rnacentral:rRNA from 3 species
UUAAGUUAUUAAGGGCGCACGGUGGAUGCCUUGGCACUAGAAGCCGAUGAAGGACGUUACUAACGACGAUAUGCUUUGGGGAGCUGUAAGUAAGCUUUGAUCCAGAGAUUUCCGAAUGGGGAAACCCAGCAUGAGUUAUGUCAUGUUAUCGAUAUGUGAAUACAUAGCAUAUCAGAAGGCACACCCGGAGAACUGAAACAUCUUAGUACCCGGAGGAAGAGAAAGAAAAUUCGAUUCCCUUAGUAGCGGCGAGCGAAACGGGAAGAGCCCAAACCAACAAGCUUGCUUGUUGGGGUUGUAGGACACUCUAUACGGAGUUACAAAGGACGACAUUAGACGAAUCAUCUGGAAAGAUGAAUCAAAGAAGGUAAUAAUCCUGUAGUCGAAAAUGUUGUCUCUCUUGAGUGGAUCCUGAGUACGACGGAGCACGUGAAAUUCCGUCGGAAUCUGGGAGGACCAUCUCCUAAGGCUAAAUACUCUCUAGUGACCGAUAGUGAACCAGUACCGUGAGGGAAAGGUGAAAAGCACCCCGGAAGGGGAGUGAAAUAGAACCUGAAACCGUGUGCUUACAAGUAGUCAGAGCCCGUUAAUGGGUGAUGGCGUGCCUUUUGUAGAAUGAACCGGCGAGUUACGAUUUGAUGCAAGGUUAAGCAGUAAAUGUGGAGCCGUAGCGAAAGCGAGUCUGAAUAGGGCGUUUAGUAUUUGGUCGUAGACCCGAAACCAGGUGAUCUACCCUUGGUCAGGUUGAAGUUCAGGUAACACUGAAUGGAGGACCGAACCGACUUACGUUGAAAAGUGAGCGGAUGAACUGAGGGUAGCGGAGAAAUUCCAAUCGAACCUGGAGAUAGCUGGUUCUCUCCGAAAUAGCUUUAGGGCUAGCCUCAAGUGAUGAUUAUUGGAGGUAGAGCACUGUUUGGACGAGGGGCCCCUCUCGGGUUACCGAAUUCAGACAAACUCCGAAUGCCAAUUAAUUUAACUUGGGAGUCAGAACAUGGGUGAUAAGGUCCGUGUUCGAAAGGGAAACAGCCCAGACCACCAGCUAAGGUCCCAAAAUAUAUGUUAAGUGGAAAAGGAUGUGGCGUUGCCCAGACAACUAGGAUGUUGGCUUAGAAGCAGCCAUCAUUUAAAGAGUGCGUAAUAGCUCACUAGUCGAGUGACACUGCGCCGAAAAUGUACCGGGGCUAAACAUAUUACCGAAGCUGUGGAUUGUCCUUUGGACAAUGGUAGGAGAGCGUUCUAAGGGCGUUGAAGCAUGAUCGUAAGGACAUGUGGAGCGCUUAGAAGUGAGAAUGCCGGUGUGAGUAGCGAAAGACGGGUGAGAAUCCCGUCCACCGAUUGACUAAGGUUUCCAGAGGAAGGCUCGUCCGCUCUGGGUUAGUCGGGUCCUAAGCUGAGGCCGACAGGCGUAGGCGAUGGAUAACAGGUUGAUAUUCCUGUACCACCUAUAAUCGUUUUAAUCGAUGGGGGGACGCAGUAGGAUAGGCGAAGCGUGCGAUUGGAUUGCACGUCUAAGCAGUAAGGCUGAGUAUUAGGCAAAUCCGGUACUCGUUAAGGCUGAGCUGUGAUGGGGAGAAGACAUUGAGUCUUCGAGUCGUUGAUUUCACACUGCCGAGAAAAGCCUCUAGAUAGAAAAUAGGUGCCCGUACCGCAAACCGACACAGGUAGUCAAGAUGAGAAUUCUAAGGUGAGCGAGCGAACUCUCGUUAAGGAACUCGGCAAAAUGACCCCGUAACUUCGGGAGAAGGGGUGCUCUUUAGGGUUAACGCCCAGAAGAGCCGCAGUGAAUAGGCCCAAGCGACUGUUUAUCAAAAACACAGGUCUCUGCUAAACCGUAAGGUGAUGUAUAGGGGCUGACGCCUGCCCGGUGCUGGAAGGUUAAGAGGAGUGGUUAGCUUCUGCGAAGCUACGAAUCGAAGCCCCAGUAAACGGCGGCCGUAACUAUAACGGUCCUAAGGUAGCGAAAUUCCUUGUCGGGUAAGUUCCGACCCGCACGAAAGGCGUAACGAUUUGGGCACUGUCUCAACGAGAGACUCGGUGAAAUCAUAGUACCUGUGAAGAUGCAGGUUACCCGCGACAGGACGGAAAGACCCCGUGGAGCUUUACUGUAGCCUGAUAUUGAAAUUCGGCACAGCUUGUACAGGAUAGGUAGGAGCCUUUGAAACGUGAGCGCUAGCUUACGUGGAGGCGCUGGUGGGAUACUACCCUAGCUGUGUUGGCUUUCUAACCCGCACCACUUAUCGUGGUGGGAGACAGUGUCAAGCGGGCAGUUUGACUGGGGCGGUCGCCUCCUAAAAGGUAACGGAGGCGCUCAAAGGUUCCCUCAGAAUGGUUGGAAAUCAUUCAUAGAGUGCAAAGGCAUAAGGGAGCUUGACUGCGAGACCUACAAGUCGAGCAGGGUCGAAAGACGGACUUAGUGAUCCGGUGGUUCCGCAUGGAAGGGCCAUCGCUCAACGGAUAAAAGCUACCCCGGGGAUAACAGGCUUAUCUCCCCCAAGAGUUCACAUCGACGGGGAGGUUUGGCACCUCGAUGUCGGCUCAUCGCAUCCUGGGGCUGUAGUCGGUCCCAAGGGUUGGGCUGUUCGCCCAUUAAAGCGGUACGCGAGCUGGGUUCAGAACGUCGUGAGACAGUUCGGUCCCUAUCCGUCGUGGGCGUAGGAAAUUUGAGAGGAGCUGUCCUUAGUACGAGAGGACCGGGAUGGACAUACCUCUGGUGUACCAGUUGUCGUGCCAACGGCAUAGCUGGGUAGCUAUGUGUGGACGGGAUAAGUGCUGAAAGCAUCUAAGCAUGAAGCCCCCCUCAAGAUGAGAUUUCCCAACUUCGGUUAUAAGAUCCCUCAAAGAUGAUGAGGUUAAUAGGUUCGAGGUGGAAGCAUGGUGACAUGUGGAGCUGACGAAUACUAAUCGAUCGAAGACUUAAUCAA